AAACGACUGCGCAUGCGCUAGGUUGGAAUUUUAGAUUCAACAAAGAUGGCGGACUCCUGGUGGAUAAUCCAGCCAAAUACCGCCAAGAUUCUACUCAGAACUCAAUAAUUACUUCGGAAUAAGACGGCACUUUAUUGACUUAGAGUAUCAAUGUGACUCAAAGGAUGGAUAAUUGUGCUCGGAUUUGUUUUAUUAUGUACAAAUUUUCGUAAACUCGUAAUGCCGUUCGCCUCGAAGAAUCUAUCCUCUAUUAUAGCUGAUCUAACAUCUAGUAUAGCUGAUCCACUCGGGGAACCAAGUAGUGUAGCUAAAUGGCUUUUGGCAGCUUCUACAUUGAGUCUUUACUGAGGCAGCUUCUACAUUUCCUUGCGUCGUGGUAUCGUACGUUUGGUUCCCCCUUGCAAUAGCUGUGACAAGUAAAGAGAUCCAUGGAGUACUUAGGGGGAAUUGCUGUCCAAUUGAUAACUGUCACGAUUUACUUGAGGAAGCAUUAAUUUCAUCGACAAUGUCUGGUGUAUUGGACUGAUCUGAUAUACUGGCUGGAUCUGUCAUUUUCGUUGGGCUGAUAAUACUCUGAUUGAAGGCAUCGGAAAGUGUCUUCACUUUCUCUAGGAUGGAGAUGGUGCAGGAUGGACAUAGCUGACCACAACUUUAUUGUAUGAGUCUAUUGUUCUUGGUGCACAUCCAAAUCCAGUCAGAAGGCCACUGUUGAGGGCAGAUCUUGGCAGUCCAUGCAGGUGGAGAUUGUUUCCUCAAUGGACUCAAAAAGGAGAAAUGACAGAUCAAUGCAAAAGGGAGGGUGUGUGGCAUUAUUUGCUUCGUGCCCUCCUGCCAAUCCCCACCAUCAUUCCCCACUUUACCCUUGGGUGAUGGAAGAAUUUGGAUAAUUAUCUUUAUUUUGAUAUAAGCUAGUCAUUAUCUGCUCCCAUUGUUCGGUAUUUAAAACUACAUUUCCUCGGUCAUUUUUUCUGGCCUCACCAACGGGAGUCAUCAGGGCAUUCCAGGAGAGGGGGUCUAAGGGUUUCUCAUCAAUAGUUAUUUAAUGAGGUUAGGGGAUCUUGGGAGGGAUUUUGCAAUGAGUCGCACAAGUGAAGCACAGGUGAACGGGUAGUCUCCAGUAUCUGUAAACAGCAAAAUACAUAUUAUAAUAACAUAUCUUUUUUGUUAUGUCACAAUUAAAAUCAAUUUACACAA